CAGCCGCCGCGGUAAUACGAAGGGGGCUAGCGUUGCUCGGAAUGACUGGGCGUAAAGGGCGCGUAGGCGGAUGGCACAGUCAGAUGUGAAAUUCCCGGGCUUAACCUGGGGGCUGCAUUUGAUACGUGUUGUCUAGAGUGAGGAAGAGGGUCGUGGAAUCCCCAGUGUAGAGGUGAAAUUCGUAGAUAUUGGGAAGAACACCGGUGGCGAAGGCGGCGACCUGGUCCUUGACUGACGCUGAGGCGCGAAAGCGUGGGGAGCAAACAGGAUUAGAUACCCGGGUAGUCCCUGUCUCUUAUAC
rnacentral:rRNA from 1 species